AGCUAAAUGUUUUAAUAUUUGGUAUUUUCUGCCCGCUGAAUUUUGAAUGGCCGCAGUACAUUGACUGUGCUAAGGUAGCAUAAUCAAUUGGCUUUUAAAUGAAGUCUUGUAUGAAUGGAAUAAUGGGGGGAAUCUGUCUCCUAAUAAUUAUAUUUAAAUUAUUAAUAAGGUGAAAAUACCUUAAUAUAAAUAAAAGACGAGAAGACCCUUAGAGUUUUUUUGUUGGGGUGACAAAUAAGCAAACCUUAUUUAAUGAGAGUUUAAACUACCUUAGGGAUAACAGCAUAAUUUUUUAAUAAGUUUAUGACCUCGAUGUUGGACUAGGGAAAUUAUAAUUAGAAAUUAAAUUUUAAUGUUCUGUUCGAACAUUUUCCCCU
rnacentral:rRNA from 1 species